CCACUGGGGAAGGAUUUUUUUUUUCUGGUGAUCUUUCCUUUUGGAGUUUUCUAGUGUGAGCCUAGGAUACAGAAGAUCAAAUCCCGAGAGGCUGACCCCUGAAGGAGCUGGUGGGAUACCUGUCAGGCCAGGCCAUGUUGAAGCCUCACAACUCCACCUCUUGGUGUUGGAUGCUGAAGAGAGAACCUCUCUCAGAAAAAGACAGCAAAGGAAGGAGCUCUCUGACAACUCACCUGUUUGAGCAGAGCUGCAGAAUGCAGUUUGGAAGAACAGUGCUCCAUCAUUCAGGACAUGUUGGCUUGAAAAAGUUUCUGUCUUGAGGUGGGACAGGAAAACUGCCGAAGCAUUUCAUAGCCAAAUGCUCAUUUUGCUUUUUUUGUCUGAAAGCAGUGAUGUCCUCUUAUCCUGCUCGAAAACAAAGCUUACAUCACUUCCAGCGUGCAAUUUAAGUGUAUACGUGUAUAAAAUUCUAUAUGCCUUAAGAAACAGUACUGUCAUGGCAUGGGAGGCUUAUAAGAUAAGGAACAGCUCAGAAAGGGUUAAUGUGAAAUGACUGUCUCUGACACUUCUAGUUAAAAGAUCAAGGAAACAUAAUUACAUCAGUAGGUGGAAAGUUCAAAACAGUGGAGGUGUUUUUAUGUACCAUGUGGAUAAUCUGUGUAACCCCUUGAAUCUGGAGGCAGUGAAUACUGAGAAUUCACAUGGCUUUCAAAAACCAGCUAGACAAAUUCAAUGAAGAAACCAUCAGCAGUCAUUAAAUGUGAAGACAACAUCCCUCAUUCAGAAAGCCUCUGAGCUGCACAUUUCUGAUGCAGGGAAAGACGACUCCCUGCUUCCCUGUUGUGCUGUUCAGCUGUUGCUGGCAAUGAUCAGGAAUGUGGCACAGCAUACAACGAACUCAUGGUCUGACUCAGUAAAACUACUCUUGCAUUCUUAUGUCAUGCUACAUUAUUGAAUAGAAUCAGAAAACAACUGUAAAGACCCACUGCAGCUGAGAAAGAUGGGGCUGGAGAACCUGCUCUAUGACUCAUUUCUUUACUUCGGUUGCUCAUUGGAGUGGUUUUUAACACCGUAAGUGUUGUAGGUCUGGACCAUAAUGUAUUUCUUCAAUCUCUGUUGGAAUCUUAAGGUAUUUUCUAAGGUGUGGUACUGGUUGAAUAGAAACCUCACAGGAUUUUUUCACAAAGAUCCAUGGCACGUACUGGCAUUUUGAAAUGGAGCAUCCCUGUGUUUGAUUAUGCUCAAACCAACAAAAGAGCCAGAUCAAGCUAAAACAAUUUGCAUUAUCUGAAGCUUAUACAUGUAUGUAAUCUUAUCAAAUAAAAGCCACAUCAGGCUUUGUAGAACAAAGGACAGGGAGCUCCUUAUGCUGUUUGUGGUGAGAACAGCUAAAGCUUGAUCCCUUCUAUUAAAGUCAGUAUGUUUAAAGAAGCUGGGAAAGAUGCCCAUGUUCAAGCAAAUAUUUACUUGCCUGUAACAUAAAGCAAGUUUUUGUCAUGGUAAAGAAACAGGCUUUAAAAAUGAUAGAAAUGUGUGUAUAUGUAUAUGCAUAUAUUUGUAUGUUAUAUAUACAUGUAUUCAUUAUCCCUUACAAGAGGAAAGCAUACUAUAUGAUUACUCGCAGUGAGGGGCUGCUGGAGAGCUCAUAGCUCUCUGUGUUCUUGAGCUUGCAGAACUCUGCUGCAGCCCAAAGAUCCUUCCCACCAUAUGCUCUUUGCCUUCCUAAAUUCAAAUCUAUUGCUUCAAAAAGCAGUUCCUUUGCAAAGCACAAAGAUGUAUUUUAAUAAAAUAGUUCUAACCAAAUUGCUGACGGCAGGAUAAUUCUGCAGCUUCACAAUAGGAAUUGUAGGGUUCCUGCUGCCUGAUAAAUGUAUGAUAAAUUGCAAACCUCCUGCUUCUAUACCACAAGCUCAGAGUGUUGUGUGAUCACCGUUGUUUUCCUGAUUUAUUUUUCAUGCCUACUAGUGCCCAUAUAAAAUCUCAGUCUAUUUAUGCUCAGGCUUUCUCCAUUCUUUUUCAUGGAUUAUGUAGCACAACAAUCAGAUUGACAAUUAAUGUAAACAUGUAUCACAGAUGUGAAUUACAUUUUAAUUCUCUGCGUCCAUCACAUGUCAUCUCUAUUUGUGUGACUAUUAAUUCCAUCAGCAGGCCUCUAGAGAACAGUUUGCUUAGGUUUCCACAAGGCCUGGGCCAGUUCUUAUAUUACAUAAAUGAAAAAUCUUCUGGUUUCACCCAAAUUUUGCAGGGUUUAUACCAUGCAAAGUAAGGGGUUUAUAUCUGUUACUGUUGUUUGAGUAAGGCUGGAAGGUAGCUUCAAGCACUGGUAACACACCAGGACUUGUUUUCAUCCAGACCUCUGUCCCUCAGGUUUUCUGACAGCUCUUUGAACAGCUCCUUGUGGACAUUGGACAGCUGGGCUUUCACCACUGCUUAAGCACAAGGAAUUUGUGGAAUUUUGAUUAUUUGCAUGUCACUUUGGGAAUAUUAACCAAAGUCCACUGAUAAUGGUUGAGAUAGGAUUUGCUUCCAGCUCAAGAGUGAAUUUAUUUGCCUUGAGCACUGUGAAAUCUUAAUUGAUCAGAUUAAAAAAUGCCAUCAUAAGAAAAACAAGGAAGUAGAAAUGAGUAUGUACUUGCACGCGUAGAGGCCUACAUGAGACCUUGCAGUACUAGCUAGUCUUUGCCUAAACUGCAACCCUGGCAGGACAUAGGAAUAAUUUGAUGGCUUCUGUUCCUCAAUAAAGAGACUUGAACACCUUUGAACCUAGAAAAAAAGAAAUCAUCAAUGAUUUCUUUCCAAGAUCCAUCAGUUAACCAGUUUUUAAUCUAUUUAGUAUGUGCUUCAGUGAUUCAGUUAAAUGUUUUUAAUCGGGAUGUCAUGUUGUAUUAAGUAAAAGAACCUGUGGAAAUCUGUGUGUGUUAUGUCAGCUGUCACUUUUUAUUAACUAAGGCCUACCAAAAAUGCUAGCAAUAUUUUUCUGGUAAGUGCUAACAUUUAAAAAUUUACAUUUAACAAGGGUGCUAUUGUUCUCAUUAAAGAGUGCUGAUAGCAUUCUCUGCAUCUGUAUCCCACCUUCAUCAAUUCUUUACAGUAACAUAUAUACCAUGCUCAAUAUAUGCUAUGCUUUUGCUCAGGAUCAAUGCUAGCCUAACAAGCCUGCUGUUAGCCACAUAAUACCUUUUAGUCUUUAGAGCCCUUGCCCACCAUUAACAUUUCAGCUGCUCAAAUGCAUGCAUCGUUGUGCAGCAUCAAACACAGAGUACUUCCUUAAAAAGGUAUAUCUUGGUGAAGAUUGGUCAUUUCUACACGUGAAAACUUCAGCUCUACCAAAGAUUUUGCAGAUAUAGAGAAGAUAAACACAGCGUAUAUUCUAAAUUUUGGUGCAGACUCUGGCUCUUAACGCCUGUAGUUCACACUAGCAUUGUUCAGUGAAGUUUAAGGUGUGCAUACGUUGGUUAACAUUUACACAGUAUUUUGAAAUACAAAUAACACUACAUGAUUCUGCUGAUUUAGUAGAGACAGUAGAGAUGUGAGCCACUUGAGGCAUUACAAAACCUUGGUGAGAAGAAGGAAACUCUGGCUCAAAGCUGACAUCCUACUGUGACAGAUAGGGUUCUGGUUCAUAAAACAAACAAAAACUACAACAAAAACACCUUAUAAUUACUCAGGCAUUUACAAAACACUGUAAAGCCUAAAUUGUGGUAUGACUACAAGGAAAGGACACAUGCAAUGACACUGAGCGAUCGACUCAAAUAUGCUAUAAAAUAACAGUCCCAAAAUAGUAAACCUUGCAAUGAAUUAUUAAAGUUGCUUAUUUUAACAUUUUAUUUACUGAAUUUUGCAUUAUUAAAAUUACAAAUCAUCAACUCACAUUGUAUUGUCAUUGAGUCUGGCCUCCCUGAGAUUUACCUUGUUCCCAUUCUGUCUACCCAGUUGGUUAACAAGAUCUCAGAUGCUGACCUUUUUCUCAUUAUACCCUUAUGAUUCAUGCCACUGACUCUCUUGCCCAUUCCUUCUUGUUUGAAAUUUCUUGGCUGUGUCUGCAAAGCUUCGCAAGGCUCCAUCACACCACGAAUCUCUGAUCAUGUGUUUUCCCUUAUGCAGCAGUUCUUGUCCUCUCUGUCCCAGGGUGCUAUGUUACUGCUUCCUUUUGUUUAAUUUUAUCCUUGGUACUCAUCUUUCCUGCAAUACUGUAAUAAAAAAAUUAAAAUUGCUUGGUGAAAAGAAAUCCCUUAUGAAAUGCCCAGCAUAUGCCAUCUUUCCUGUGAUUGUUUUCAUACUGUGUAAUUUUUUUUUUUAAGUAUUCCAAUAAUAUCUAGCACCAUUUCACAUACAGGUCCAUCAGUGGAUUCUUUGACAUGCUGGCAAGUAGGAUUACUCCUGUGACAUGCUUCAAAUAGACCAAGGCUUUGAGAUGAAAUUCCUUAUAGUGAGCACCCGAAAAAGAAACAACCUGUAAUUCUAAAACUUGUACACUAAACAGGAAAUGUUUUAGAUAGGAUGAAAGAACAGAAGAGUAGAAAGCUCUACAAGCACGUGUCUGAGUUCCUGGGAAAAGCUUGGGUCUUAGUAUCUCACUGGAGGAAAUAGCACCAGCUGCAGGAUGGUGUCCUGGUUUGUUCCUUCCUGUGGCUCUCUUACCCCCCAGGUCUUCUCUGAUGUCCACCUACAGCCUCCUUGCCACUCACUGUGCUGGAAGCUGGGGCAGCGGUUUAGCCAUAGGUGGUGGCACUGCCAACAUGAGACACAGCCAUGGUACUGCUGAGCUCCUGAGCUACCCUGCCUGGAGUCUCCCAGCUUCCUGCCCUUGUGUCUUCAAGGUACCUUGAGAAUAGCAUUAGCUUCCUUAGUAUUUACUGAACUGUUUUUAAGGACACAUAAAGUGGAAUCCAUACAUUUCUGGCUUAUUGUUAAAAAUGAUUGUGUGUUUGUUAUAUAGCAAAUGUUACUUGAUAUAUUUUUUCCUAUUCCUAAAAAUGGUAUUGCUUUUCUGUUGAGCUUGAGCUAUCUUUGUCAUUACAAGAAAACCCAGGGCAUCAGGUAAUCAUUCCCAGACUGUUUUCAUUUCAGGCUAAAGAUCAAGAGCAACUCCUCAGGUAGAAAGCAAUUCAAUACUGUUGCCAAAUUUUUCAGGUUUCCCUUAAGAAACGGUCUUAGAACAAAUGCUCUCUUGUGAAUGAUUCUGUGGAAGGUUAAUCACAAUAAUGUCAGCACGCAUUUUCUUCUUUGGUUCAGCUAUCUGUGCCAAAGCAGCAUACUCUACAUGGCAAAGCCAGGAUAUAUUUAAAUGCAAUACCUAGCACCAAGGCCUUCUGCAUCUCAUGGUAUUAGGACAAUGACUUGCAGAUGCCAGCCUCGGUGAUGUUCUCAACUUGGCACAGUAUUAUCCUAGUAGGAUUCCACUCUCGGUGGAAUGCUUGCAAAAUCUGUCAGCCUAGAUGGAUGCUCAUUGCUGAAUAAGCUUUGUUUACUAUUUGUUUGUGUGCUGGAAAUGAAUCGAAAGGCUCUUCGAUCACCUUCUGGCCAAAAGGCAGUGCUAGAGAAGUUUUCUCUCCAAAGACAAUUUUGAAUCUUACUUAAUAUUUUCUGCAACUUGAAGAAACAAAAUAAAUAUUGUAAUCAACAGAUACUUAAGAGCAUGUGAAAUAAGGUUCAAGUGUGUGUUCCAAAGUCUUUUGUUCAGGCUGGAACAAGGCGAUAUCAUCUCUGUUUCCAGGAUUUAUUUAUUUAUUUUUAACUAUCUCAACCAGACAACUUGACAGAAUGUAAAUCCAAGAAAGUUUAUAGUAUUUGGAAUUAAGUACUGCAUAGAUAUUUUGUUAACAUCUGGCUGCUUCAGUUGAGAGAACAGAAACUGAUUCAUCUGAGGAAUCUGUUGGCAAAUGACAUAUAGAAAUGCUGAAUUACAGCCAGCACCAGAAUCAUAAAAAUGAACUGUUUUGUUCAGAAGAGCGAAUUUUGUCAUUAGCCAUGCCAAAACCUGCCUUCAUUGACAGAAAUGGAUUAGAGCACAUUAUCUUAUCUCAAAAUCCAGUUUACCAGGUCAUACACUGAUGAUAUCCUGGUCGCAUGCCUGAUUCUGUAGAGAUGACAAAGCCAAGAUUGUUCCUCGCUCAGGGGAAGUUUCUCAGUGUCUGUAUCUUUGAAACUGGGGUGUGUGGCCAUCCUGUCUCAUGGCAAUGGAUCACCCUUACAAGGAACUCCUCCAUGCCACCAUUCUGUCCUCCGCUUCAUCCCACCUUGGAAGGGAUCUCUUAUCAAGGAGGUACCAAUAAACAUUGCAAAUGCAAAAAUGAGAAAAAGAGGAGGAUAAGUUAUUUGUCUUCUAACUUUUUGUGCUUUGUCAUUUCAGAAGGUGCCUCAAGUGUUUUUUUCCCUUUCUCUGCAAGUUGUUUAUAUCUCCUGGGAAAGAAUCUUAAUAGAUGAAAAACAAUUAACUAGUGCAGGGAAAGUCUUCAGAAAAACUACUGCCUUCUCUUGGCUCUCUGAGAGCAAAUCUAAGGCUGAUCUUAUUAAUGUGGACAGAUGCUUGAACAUCUUUAGCACAUGUGAUAAAAAAUGAAAGGCUGCAGUGAUUCAAAAGCUCAAACUUCUAUUCCUUUGUUAAUUAGAGCACAGUUAGAAGAUGAGUAAAUACCUUCAUCCCAGAAACAAUAAACAUGUAGGCACAAGUACUAUCAAGCUGUGUCAAUCCUAGGAGAAUAUACUCCUCCUAGUUUCAGCUGGUUACAUCUGUCUUUGUUACUACAUUUCAUGGCUUGCCUAUACCCUUACAUGUCAAACAUACAAAUAUCAAUAUUCCUUCUACAUUAGGAAGACUUGAAAGAAAUUGGGACUUUAGAAAACGUUAGCCUAUGAGUCAAGGGUGUAUUUGCAUUAACAACAAAGAUUCAGAAAAUAGGAUUAUGCACCUUUGCUUGUACAUUUGGCAGUUCAUUAGAUUCUAAAACAAAGGGAUCUCGAGCUGUUUGCAUAUUCAUUCUCAUGCAUUCCCAA